rnacentral:rRNA from 1 species
CUGGUUGAUCCUGCCAGUAGUCAUAUGCUUGUCUCAAAGACUAAGCCAUGCAUGUCUAAGUAUAAAUGCUAUACAAUGAAACUGCGAAUGGCUCAUUAAAACAGUUAUAGUUUAUUUGGUAAUCGAAUUUACAUGGAUAACCGUGGUAAUUCUAGAGCUAAUACAUGCUGUUAAGCCCGACUUUUGGAAGGGCCGUAUUUAUUAGAUAACAGACCAAUAUUCCUCGUGUCUAUUGUGGUGAAUCAUAGUAACUUAAGGAUCGUAUGGGCUUUGCCCUCGACAAACCAUUCAAGUUUCUGCCCCAUCAGCUUUCGAUGGUAGUGUAUUGGACUACCAUGGCUUUCACGGGUAACGGAGGAUUAGGGUUCGAUUCCGGAGAGGGAGCCUGAGAAACGGCUACCACAUCUAAGGAAGGCAGCAGGCGCGUAAAUUACCCAAUUCUGACUCAGAGAGGUAGUGACAAGAAAUAACGGGUCGGGACUUCUGUCCCGGGACUGCAAUGAGCCGAAUCUACACACCUUGCGAGGAUCAAUUGGAGGGCAAGUCUGGU